AUUGAACGCUGGCGGCAGGCCUAACACAUGCAAGUCGAGCGGAUGAAGGGAGCUUGCUCCUGGAUUCAUCGGCGGACGGGUGAGUAAUGCCUAUGAAUCUGCCUGUUAGUGGGGGAUAACGUCCGGAAACGGGCGCUAAUACCGCAUACGUCCUGAGGGAGAAAGUGGGGGAUCUUCGCACCUCACGCUAUCAGCUUAGCCUAGGUCGGAUUAGCUAGUUGGUGGGGUAAAGGCCUACCAAGGCGACGAUCCGUAACUGGUCUGAGAGGAUGAUCAGUCACACUGGAACUGAGACACGGUCCAGACUCCUACGGGAGGCAGCAGUGGGGAAUAUUGGACAAUGGGCGAAAGCCUGAUCCAGCCAUGCCGCGUGUGUGAAGAAGGUCUUCGGAUUGUAAAGCACUUUAAGUGGGGAGGAAGGGAAGUAAGUUAAUACCUUGCUGUAUUGACGUUACCAACAGAAUAAGCACCGGCUAACUUCGUG
rnacentral:rRNA from 1 species